rnacentral:rRNA from 1 species
CCCUUAGAUGUUCUGGGCCGCACGCGCGCUACACUGAUGCAUUCAACGAGUCUAAAACCUGGUCUAAUAGGGCUGGGUAAUCUUUUGAAUGUGCAUCGUGAUUGGGAUAGAUGAUUGCAAUUCUUCAUCUUCAACGAGGAAUGCCUAGUAAACGCAAGUCAUCAGCUUGCAUUGAUUACGUCCCUGCCCUUUGUACACACCGCCCGUCGCUCCUACCGAUUGAAUGUUCCGAUGAAUACCAUGGACUGAGAGUAUGAAUGGGUUCGCCUAUUUCUGCUUCUCGGGAAGUGGAGUAAAUCUUAACAUUUAGAGGAAGGAGAAGUCGUAACA